GACGUAGGGCGCGAGCGUUUGUCCGGAUUUAUUGGGCGUAAAGAGCUCGUAGGCGGCUUGUCGCGUACGUCCGUGGAAAACCUGCGGCUCAACUGCAGGCUGGCGGUCGAUACGGGCGAGGCUGGAGUUCGGUAGGGGAGACGUAGGAACUUCUGGUGUAGCGGUGAAAUGCGCAGAGUAUCAGGAGGAACACCGGUGGCGAAGGCGGGUCUCUGGGCCGAUAUUGACGCUGGAGGAGCGAAAGCGUGGGGAGCAAACAGG
rnacentral:rRNA from 1 species